rnacentral:rRNA from 1 species
GUACACUCCUACGGGAGGCAGCAGUGGGGAAUUUUGGACAAUGGGCGCAAGCCUGAUCCAGCCAUGCCGCGUGCGGGAAGAAGGCCUUCGGGUUGUAAACCGCUUUUGUCAGGGAAGAAAAGGUUCUGGCUAAUACCUGGGACUCAUGACGGUACCUGAAGAAUAAGCACCGGCUAACUACGUGCCAGCAGCCGCGGUAAUACGUAGGGUGCAAGCGUUAAUCGGAAUUACUGGGCGUAAAGCGUGCGCAGGCGGUUAUGCAAGACAGAGGUGAAAUCCCCGGGCUCAACCUGGGAACUGCCUUUGUGACUGCAUGGCUAGAGUACGGUAGAGGGGGAUGGAAUUCCGCGUGUAGCAGUGAAAUGCGUAGAUAUGCGGAGGAACACCGAUGGCGAAGGCAAUCCCCUGGACCUGUACUGACGCUCAUGCACGAAAGCGUGGGGAGCAAACAGGAUUAGAAACCCCGGUAGUCC